UCAGUUUGGCAGUAAAUAUACUAAAAUUGGAAUUAUACAGACCAGGUUUGUAGCGUCCCUGUGUAAGGAUGAAAGGCAAACAUAUGAAGCACUCCAUAUUUUU